rnacentral:rRNA from 1 species
ACUGCGUGAAAUCCAUGAUCCUAUGCUGCCGAGAAAAGCCUCUAGCGAGCUGGUACAUGGCCCGUACCCCAAACCGACACAGGUGGUCAGGUAGAGAAUACUAAGGCGAUCGAGAGAACUGUGGUUAAGGAACUCGGCAAAAUGCCCCCGUAACUUCGGGAGAAGGGGGACCAGUCCUGGAGACGACAUUUACUGUCUGAGCUGGGGUUGGUCGCAGAGACCAGAGAGAAGCGACUGUUUACUAAAAACACAGGUCCGUGCGAAGUCGUAAGACGAUGUAUACGGACUGACGCCUGCCCGGUGCUGGAAGGUUAAGAGGACCGGUCAGCCACUUCGGUGGCGAAGCUGAGAAUUUAAGCCCCAGUAAACGGCGGUGGUAACUAUAACCAUCCUAAGGUAGCGAAAUUCCUUGUCGGGUAAGUUCCGACCUGCACGAAUGGCGUAACGACUUCUCUGCUGUCUCAACCACAGACUCGGCGAAAUUGCAGUACGAGUAAAGAUGCUCGUUACGCGCGGCAGGACGAAAAGACCCCGGGACCUUCACUAUAGCUUGGUAUUGGUGUUCGGUUCGGUUUGUGUAGGAUAGGUGGGAGACUGUGAAACUCGCACGCCAGUGUGGGUGGAGUCAUUGUUGAAAUACCACUCUGACCGUAUUGGACAUCUAACCUCGGACCAUGAUCUGGUUCAGGGACAGUGCCUGGUGGGUAGUUUAACUGGGGCGGUUGCCUCCUAAAAAGUAACGGAGGCGCCCAAAGGUUCCCUCAGCCUGGUUGGCAAUCAGGUGUUGAGUGUAAGUGCACAAGGGAGCUUGACUGUGAGACGUACAUGUCGAGCAGGGACGAAAGUCGGGACUAGCGAUCCGGCACCGGCAAGUGGAAGCGGUGUCGCUCAACGGAUAAAAGGUACCCCGGGGAUAACAGGCUGAUCUUCCCCAAGAGUCCAUAUCGACGGGAUGGUUUGGCACCUCGAUGUCGGCUCGUCGCAUCCUGGGGCUGGAGUAGGUCCCAAGGGUUGGGCUGUUCGCCCAUUAAAGCGGCACGCGAGCUGGGUUUAGAACGUCGUGAGACAGUUCGGUCUCUAUCCGCCGCGCGCGUAAGAAACUUGAGGAAACCUGUCCCUAGUACGAGAGGACCGGGACGGACGAACCUCUGGUGUGCCAGUUGUUCCACCAGGAGCACCGCUGGUUAGCUACGUUCGGAAGGGAUAACCGCUGAAAGCAUCUAAGCGGGAAGCCUGUUCCAAGAUGAGGUUUCUCACCACCUAGCGUGGUUAAGGCCCCCCACAGACCAUGGGGUUGAUAGGCCAGAACUGUAAGCACAGCAAUGUGUUCAGGUGACCGGUACUAAUCGGCCGAGGACUUAU